rnacentral:rRNA from 1 species
GACGAACGCUGGCGGCGUGCUUAACACAUGCAAGUCGAACGGAAAGGCCCUGCUUUUGUGGGGUGCUCGAGUGGCGAACGGGUGAGUAACACGUGAGUAACCUGCCCUUGACUUUGGGAUAACUUCAGGAAACUGGGGCUAAUACCGGAUAGUACCUCCUGCUGCAUGGUGGGGGUUGGAAAGUUUCGGCGGUUGGGGAUGGACGCGCGGCUUAUCAGCUUGUUGGUGGGGUAGUGGCUUACCAAGGCUUUGACGGGUAGCCGGCCUGAGAGGGUGACCGGCCACAUUGGGACUGAGAUACGGCCCAGACUCCUACGGGAGGCAGCAGUGGGGAAUAUUGCAGAAUGGGCGGAAGCCAGAUGAAGCAACGCCGCGUGCGGGAUGACGGCCUUCGGGUUGUAAACCGCUGUCGCCUGUGACGAAGCGUGAGUGACGGUAAUGGGUAAAGAAGCACCGGCUAACUACGUG